GCGGUAAUUCAAGCUCCAAUAGCGUAUAUGUAAAUUGUUGCGGUUGAAAAGCUCGUAGUUGGACUUCUGGCGACCGCGCUCGGUCCGCCUUGCGCGAGCACUGUCCGCGGUCGUCGUCUCUGUCGACGUGGCGCGCCGGACUUCACUGGCCGGCGCGUCGUCUGUCGGCGAUGUUACUUUGAGGAAAUCAGAGUGCUCAAAGCAAGCGUUCGCUCGUGACUUCACUAGCAUGGAAUAACACAGAUGGGCUCUUUCUCGCACUGUUGGUCUGCGUCAAUUGAGCAACGAUCGAUAGAGACGGUCGGGGGCAUUCGUAUUGCGCAGUUAGAGGUGAAAUUCUCCGAUCUGCGCAAGACGCACUAAUGCGAAAGCAGUUGCCAAGGACGUCCUCUUAUGAUCAAGAGCGAAAGUCGGGGGAUCAAAGAUGAUUAGAUACCGUCGUAGUCCCGACCAUAAAUGAUGCCGACUGAGCUUCGGCGACUCGACCACAGGUCGUACGUCGGCGCUCUUAGAGAAAUUAAAGUCUUUGGGCUCCGGGGGUAGUAUGGUCGCAAGUCUGAAACUUGAAGGAAUUGACGGAAGGGCACCACAAGGCGUGGAUGUUGCGGCUUAAUUUGACUCAACACGGGAAAGCUUACUAGGUUUGGACACCUUUGUGAUGGACAGAUUGAAGCUCUUACCCUACUGCGUGGAUGGUGGUGCAUGGUCGUUCUCAGCCCGUGGGUUGACCUGUCAGGUUUACUCCGGUAACGCGCGAGACCUCGGUCUGCUAAAUAGACGCGGCUGUUUCGGCACCCGCGCUCUUCUUAGAGAGAGACUCGACGAGAGUCGAGGGAAGUCGAGGCAAUAACAGAUCUGUGAUGCCCUUAGUUAUCCUAGGUCGCACGCGCCAUACAAUGUGGCGCACAACGAGUCUCCUUGGCCGACAGGAUCUGGGCAAUCUGGCAGAGCGCUACGUGACUGGGCUAGACUUUUGUAAUUUUUGGUCUUGAACGAGGAAUGCCUAGUAAUCGCAGGUCAGCAUCCUGCGAUGAUUCGGUCCCUGCCCUUUGUACACACCGCCCGUCGCUCCAUCCGUGGCAUGCGCCGGUGAAGAGGGGGAGGCAGCGUCGGCCGGGUAACACCGGAUCGUACGUGGAACCCCUCUGAACCUUCGCACGUAGAGGAAGGAGAAGUCGUAACAAGGUUUUCGUAGGUGAACCUGCGAAAGGAUCAUUAUCGGCAC
rnacentral:rRNA from 1 species